UUUCUAUGGGAGGCAGCAGUGGGGAAUUUGGACAAUGGGGGCAAGCUUGAUCCAGCAAGCCGCGUGGUGAAGAAGGCCUUGGGGUGUAAAGCUAUUUUGUCAUGGAAGAAGUGGAGCCGGUUAAUACCUUGGUUAAUGACGGUACCGAAGAAUAAGCACCGGCUAAUUUUUG
rnacentral:rRNA from 1 species